UACGUAGGGUGCGAGCGUUGUCCGGAAUUAUUGGGCGUAAAGGGUGUGUAGGUGGCGCGCUAAGUCGGGUGUGAAAUUUCGGAGCCUAACUCCGAAACUGCAUUCGAUACUGGCGUGCUUGAGGACUGGAGAGGAGACUGGAAUUCAUGGUGUAGCAGUGAAAUGCGUAGAGAUCAUGAGGAAGACCAGUGGCGAAGGCGGGUCUCUGGACAGUUCCUGACACUGAGACACGAAGGCCAGGGGAGCAAACGGG
rnacentral:rRNA from 1 species